UACGAAGGGGGGCUAGCGUUGCUCGGAAUCACUGGGCGUAAAGGGUGCGUAGGCGGGUCUUUAAGUCAGGGGUGAAAUCCUGGAGCUCAACUCCAGAACUGCCUUUUGAUACUGAAGAUCUUGAGUUCGGGAGAGGUGAGUGGAACUGCGAGUGUAGAGGUGAAAUGCGUAGAUAUCUGGAGGAACACCGGUGGCGAAGGCGGCAUCCUGGACCGGUAUUGACGCUGAGGCGCGAAAGCCAGGGGAGCAAAGCAGG
rnacentral:rRNA from 1 species